rnacentral:lncRNA from 1 species
CUUUCAGAAGAUACAUUCCAGAUAAAAGUGGAUACGGCUGUUGUCAGACCGGCGACAAUCCAGUCCAAGAUGAAGAAGCGAAAGAGGGAACAUAAACUAGUCAGAAAAAGCAAAAUGAAGAAAAAAAGAAUUCUACUUCCCUUUCUUUUUUUUGAAAGCAGAAUUCGAUAAAUUAAAGAGAAACCGACAAAAAGAACAAAGAAAAACAGAAUCCACUUUUGAGUGCUCAUUAUAGCGGUUCCCUCUGAUCCUAGAAAACAUCCAAGGCAAGAGCCUAGGAAACUACCCAGGAGAGAAAAAAUAAAAGAAAGAGA